rnacentral:tRNA from 1 species
GGAGGCAUGUGCUCAGGGGUAGAGCAUGUGCCUAGCGUGCACGAGGCCCUGGGCUCAAUCCCCGGUGCCUCCA